CAUAAAGUCACUGCCACCCAUAACAAGCCCGAUCCCGUCUGAUCUCGGAAGCAAAGCAGGGCUGGGCCUGGUUAGUACUUGGAUGGGAGACCACCUAGGAAGAUCAGGUGAUGUAGGAG
rnacentral:rRNA from 1 species